rnacentral:rRNA from 1 species
UACGUAGGGUGCGAGCGUUAAUCGGAAUUAUUGGGCGUAAAGGGCUCGUAGGCGGUUUGUCGCGUCGGGAGUGAAAUCCACUGGCUUAACUGGUGGCUUGCUUUCGAUACGGGCAGACUGGAGGUAUGCAGGGGAGAACGGAAUUCCUGGUGUAGCGGUGAAAUGCGCAGAUAUCAGGAGGAACACCGGUGGCGAAGGCGGUUCUCUGGGCAUGUUCUGACGCUGAGGAGCGAAAGUGUGGGGAGCGAACAGG